UACGUAGGGACCGAGCGUUGUCCGGAAUCAUUGGGCGUAAAGAGCGUGUAGGCGGCCUUUUAAGUCCUGCGUGAAAUCCUGCGGCUCAACCGCAGACGGUCGUGGGAAACUGGAAGGCUAGAGUGCGGGAGAGGAGAGUGGAAUUCCCGGUGUAGCGGUGAAAUGCGUAGAUAUCCGGAAGAACACCUGAGGCGAAGGCGGCUUGCUGGGCAUGAUCUGACGCUGAGGCGCGAAAGCGUGGGGAGCAAACAGG
rnacentral:rRNA from 1 species